UACGUAGGGUGCAAGCGUUGUCCGGAAUUACUGGGCGUAAAGAGCUCGUAGGUGGUUUGUCGCGUUGUUCGUGAAAACUCACAGCUCAACUGUGGGCGUGCGGGCGAUACGGGCAGACUAGAGUACUGCAGGGGAGACUGGAAUUCCUGGUGUAGCGGUGAAAUGCGCAGAUAUCAGGAGGAACACCGAUGGCGAAGGCAGGUCUCUGGGCCACUACUGACGCUGAGAAGCGAAAGCGUGGGGAGCAAACAGG
rnacentral:rRNA from 1 species